UUUAAUGGCCGCAGUAAUUAUCAAUAGUUUUUUAAUUGAAAGCUUGUAUGAAAGGUUGGACGAGAUAAUAUCUGUCUUUAUUGUAAUUAUAUUAGAAUUUAAUUUUUAAGUUAAAAAGCUUAAAUUUUUUUAAAAGACGAGAAGACCCUAUAGAGUUUUAUAAUUUAGAAUUUAUAAUUAUUUUAGAUUAAUUAAUUUUAUAGAUUUAUAUUUAUUUUAUUGGGGUAAUAGAAAGAUUAUUAUAAUUCUUUUUUUUUUUAUUAUUUAUUUAUAUUUGUAUGAUCCUUUAUUAAAGAUUAUAAGAUUAAAUUACCUUAGGGAUAACAGCGUAAUUUUUUUUGAAAGUUCUUAUUGAUAAAAAAGAUUGCGACCUCGAUGUUGGAUUAAAGAUUAAUUUAGGUGCAAAAGUUUAAAUUUUUGGUCUGUUCGACCAUUAAAUCUUUACAUGAUCUGAGUUCAGACCGGUGUGAGCCAGGUCGGUUUCUAUCUUUAUUUAUUUAAAAUAUUUUAGUACGAAAGGACCAAAUAUUUAUUAUAUUAAUUUAUAUUUUGAAUAUUAUU
rnacentral:rRNA from 1 species